rnacentral:rRNA from 1 species
UGGGGAAUUUUGGACAAUGGGCGAAAGCCUGAUCCAGCAAUGCCGCGUGUGUGAAGAAGGCCUUCGGGUUGUAAAGCACUUUUGUCCGGAAAGAAAUCCUUGGCUCUAAUACAGUCGGGGGAUGACGGUACCGGAAGAAUAAGCACCGGCUAACUACGUGCCAGCAGCCGCGGUAAUACGUAGGGUGCAAGCGUUAAUCGGAAUUACUGGGCGUAAAGCGUGCGCAGGCGGUUUGCUAAGACCGAUGUGAAAUCCCCGGGCUCAACCUGGGAACUGCAUUGGUGACUGGCAGGCUAGAGUAUGGCAGAGGGGGGUAGAAUUCCACGUGUAGCAGUGAAAUGCGUAGAGAUGUGGAGGAAUACCGAUGGCGAAGGCAGCCCCCUGGGCCAAUACUGACGCUCAUGCACGAAAGCGUGGGGAGCAAACAGGAUUAGAUACCCUGGUAGUCCACGCCCUAAACGAUGUCAACUAGUUGUUGGGGAUUCAUUUCCUUAGUAACGUAGCUAACGCGUGAAGUUGACCGCCUGGGGAGUACGGGGGUCGCAAGAUUAAAACUCAAAUGAAUUGACGGGGUCAUAGCUGUUUCCU